rnacentral:misc_RNA from 1 species
CGGGCCUCUCUAGUCUAACCGCAAUCCCAAUUCCCAAACAGAGCCAAAACCUGCUCGUCAAUCGCCAUUCCAAACUGAGAAAUGGAGUACUCCAUUUCACAUAUGAAGCCACUUUGGGACUGCUGAAUCCUUCAAUUUCCUGUAGCUACCUACAAGUACAGGAAUUGACUGCACCAAAAAAUGACACUCGUAGUAUUCCCUUUUCUCACCUCACCUCCUCUAUGCCUCUUGCAUCAAAUUCCGAUUCCCAGAUUCUAUAUCACACUCCACCAGCUCAAAAAACAAACAAAGGACAAGGUUCCCUUGUAUGAUUUCUCUUAUCACUUAUCUGGCUCCCAUAGUCUAGCCCAUUUUCAGGGAUUCCUGGUGAUGGCAGGUGUUUGUUUCGGUCUGUGGUCCACGGAGCAUGCCUCAGGUCUGGGAAACCAUCUCCAAGUGAGAGCCUUGAAAAAGAACUUGCAGAUGAGCUACGAGCUAAAGUAGCAGAUGAAUUUAUUAAGAGGCGCAAGGACACUGAAUGGUUUCUUGAAGAUGAUUUUGACACCUAUGUCGAACAGAUGAGACAACCCCAUGUCUGGGGAGGGGAGCCUGAGCUGCUUAUGUCCUCACAUGUUCUAAAGUAAACUGCUCCUUAUCUACUCUUUCAAACAUCAGAAAGUCGAGAAAGUUUCUGUUGUACUUUCUAACUACAUCUGUUUGCAGAUUUAAAUUUUAUGCAAAUUAAAUUAGUUUUGCUGGAUUAUGGAUUUUAAGGGCUCAAUUUCCUUCAAAGUGGUUUCCUUGGUAGAUAUACCUGUGAAAUCUGCACCAGUAAUUGUUACAAACCUCCUUCAAUUUGAAAUUUAAGUUAAUUUGUAAUGUCGAACUGGAUAAAAUAAAAAAAAAUGUCACUUUCUUUUUGAAACUCUAAUGAGAUAUUCAAAAUUACAUUUAAUUAUAGUUUCUUAUUUUCUUCUGUUAGUCUAUCUUUAUCUUAUUAUCAAAUAUUUGGGUAGCCCAUUUAGUCAUAAAUCCACCAAAAGAUUCUCAUUUUUAUAUGAUCACACAAUUUUCCAUUUAUAGGGUGCCAAUAACAGUAUAUAUGAGGGACAGAAAUUCUGAUGGCCUCAAAAUUAUAGCUGAAUAUGGUCAAGAGUACGGCAGGGAAAAUCCCAUCUGUGUAUUGUAUCAUGGAUACGGACACUAUGAUGCAUUGCGGAGGCAGAUUGCUGGUUCACAAUCCAAGCAGUAAGAUCCCUUGCUUCCUCUAUUUUAUGUGUAUCUUUGGGCAAGCAAGUAAUGCUAACUUCCUUAUUCCUACUAUAUUGCCUGGUCAUUUCAUUUCUUAUGUCACAACACUAUUGUUUUAUAAUUAUCUUUUUGCACUUAGAAUCCAUCAGGCAUAAUUUUGUGAGGUGUAAUUACGAGAUUUUAUUCACCAAGGCAACUAAGUGGAGGGUGUAAAGAUUUUUGACUUUUUGAUUUUUUGAGUGCAUCAAUAGGGUCGCUGGGCUGGGAUGUUUACUGGUUAGUGGCUUAGUUUAAAUGCAACAUACAAUGCUUGGUGAAAGUCACAGUAGGUUUUACGUAUGCAGUUCCAAGGUUCCAUUGAGUAAUUUGAUAGUAAUCUUUCACCGACUAUUUUCUUGAGUCCUGAUCCCAUACGUAGCUGUAAGUAAACUGGAUGUGUAUUUGACAGAUGUUCUGCAUUGCUAGCAAAUUGCUAGAAAUAACUUACUCUGGCUAUGUUCAGAUUCUUCUACCCUUGGUUAAUGAAACUAUUUCUUUGGUUUCUUGGCAGGUGCAAGAAAAGAUGAACAAAUUGUUUCUUUUUUAACAACGCAGAACAUAAUCCAAUGUGCUGUAAAAUUUCUGGUUGUGUCUGAAGAUUUACCUUAUUCCUUCAUGGAUUUGAAUUAUUCAAUUCUACUCUAAAUGUAAAAAAGUUGAUGAACUGACUAGAUGGAUGUCAAUAAAUAAAUGUCCUUUACUCAGAAAAUUCGAAUGGAUAAGAUAAUUGUCCAUUUGAGAUUCUGUCAUGACCCUGUAACCUGUACGGCUGAAUUCUUGAACCUUAUGCUGGACCUAAGUCGAUUGGUGAUGGAUAUGUAACCCUUGAGCCGAGGACAGGGACUAAGUCUAGCUAAAAUAAGUCUUGCUAAAAUUUCCAUUGGCGUAUGGAUUUAUCUAUAAAAUUCUUGAAAAUGUUAUCUAUUUUCUUUUCAUUCUGUCUUCCCAAACAAGAACACUUUUUUAUUUUUCAUCUAUCCGGGUAAAGAAAAUAGUAACUAGAAUUUUCCUUCCUCUCUAAAGAAAUUCCCAAACACUGUUUGGAGAACUUAGUCACAGAAUGGCACUAAACAAGAGCGGCCUCAGUAAUUUAUUAUUAGUUGCUAAUCAGGUAAAUGUCACUUAAACCCCAAGAUUACUUGCUAAUUCUAUUGACCUUAUUUUGGCCAAAGCCUCAGUUUUUUAUACCUUAUCAAAACCCUGAAACAAUCAACUUCCCAUCAACGUUAAACAGAUGAAGCUUGAAAAGAUUAAUAGAACUCUUCACAAUUUGAUGCUCAAACUCAUUUGGUAGCCUUCUUCUCCACUCUCCAAAACUGUAGGUAAUAACGUUAACCCUCGCUAGAAUUGAAUAUUGAUCCACAGGAAUAACCUUC